UAACUGCAAUCCAUCCUCUACUCAGUGUACUGCCAUCCAUCCUCUACUCAGUGGUACUGCCAUCAUCCUCUACUCAUGACUGCCACCACUUCCAUGACGCAUCAUCCUCCUACAGUGAACUGCCAUCAUCCUCUACUCAGUGAACUGCCAUCCAUCCUCUACUCAGUGAAACUGCCAUCCAUCCUCUACUCAGUGUACUGCCAUCCAUCCUCUACUCAGUUACUUGGACCAUCCUCGCUCAUCGCAAUCCUCUACUCAGUGAACUGCCAUCCACCUCUACUCAGUGAACUGC
rnacentral:lncRNA from 1 species